AAUAUGUUAAGUCCAUUUGGUUUGUAACAUGUUAGCUCAUCGCUUCUCGGCCUUUUGGCUAAGAUCAAGUGUAGUAACA
ensembl:miRNA Gm44469 predicted gene, 44469